GUGGCUUGGCUACGCUCAGUGCCGUUUAUACGGCUCCGGAAAACCUGCUCAGAGCACCACGGGCGGCAACACGCUGGACGGACGUCUCCACCUUUGCGAGUCUGAAAGAAUUCGUAGGAAGGACGAAUUAUCUAGCCAAGGAAUGAUGCAAGUCCAUGCACCAGUCAAUCACAUUCCGACGAGUGCAUGAAACUUUGAAACUACGAGCUGCAAGACUCUACACGAAACGGUGUAACACGGAGUAGCAAUUGCAAGACUGUAGAGAUGAACAACUUCAGCAACAGAUCACUACGCACUGCAUCUCAAGUAUUGCUGGGUCAUGUUUGUAUUGAAAUGUCAGACAAGUUACAAACACACUAAAUCAGACCUCGCUCAGCACAUGAUAAAAGUGUUUUAGAGCAUCUGAAGUGAUCGGGUUCCAAUUUAAACAAGAUAGCCAAAGUACUGUUACAUGCAUAUAGCUUGUAAUAUAAUGUACAAGUAUUUAGCAAGUUGACAUAGUUGGUAAAAAGUGGUGUUUAGCAUGCAUGCUUGAACACCCACACCAAGGGAGAGAGACAGACAUAAAUGGACAAAUGUCAAGGCCUCCACGUCAUUAGUGAACGACGUCAACCUUAAGGUCAGUUGCGGAGAUAGCUCCCCUGCCUCUAGAGACAGGGCCUCCAUGUACUACGGUGGAGGCUUAGAACCAGCGCUACAAUCCACCUGGAGCUUGGCUGGAGUCAUCUGGGGGCACUGACAAUGGCGCAGCUCUGGGACUGGACACCAAGGCCCACACGUCAGUACCCCUUCUGCUGAUGUUACUGCCAAGCCAGCGGUCAUGACCACCCCAGUCAAUGACCAGGAAGCAAUUGUGUGUAAGUUUCUUUCUUACGCCAUCACUGUGACUUGAACAUGCAACCCUGCAAGGUCCCAGAUUCUCCAACUGCACUCUAACCAAUUGGGCUACAGCACCACAGACACACACCACAUUUCUGCACAAUCUUGAGACAAGACAUCUACUGUAUUUAGCAUGCACAGGUACGCACCUACUAUAUGGCAUAAUGCUAGUGCAUGCAAUCAACAGCUCUGAUAAUGUUGUCAUUAGAAAAAAGGG